rnacentral:rRNA from 1 species
UACGAAGGGGGCUAGCGUUGUUCGGAAUUACUGGGCGUAAAGCGCACGUAGGCGGCUUUGCAAGUUAGAGGUGAAAGCCCGGGGCUCAACUCCGGAAUUGCCUUUAAAACUGCAUCGCUAGAAUUGUGGAGAGGUAAGUGGAAUUCCGAGUGUAGAGGUGAAAUUCGUAGAUAUUCGGAAGAACACCAGUGGCGAAGGCGACUUACUGGACACAUAUUGACGCUGAGGUGCGAAAGCGUGGGGAGCAAACAGG